CGGGUAGAGUAACGCGUGAGUAACCUGCCUUUCAGAGGGGGAUAACGUUCUGAAAAGAACGCUAAUACCGCAUGAGACUACAGAGCUGCAUGGCUCAGUGGUCAAAGGAGCAAUCCGCUGAAAGAUGGACUCGCGUCCGAUUAGAUAGUAGGCGGGGUAACGGCCCACCUAGUCGACGAUCGGUAGCCGGACUGAGAGGUUGAACGGCCACAUUGGGACUGAGACACGGCCCAGACUCCUACGGGAGGCAGCAUG
rnacentral:rRNA from 1 species